ACUUUAAUAGCUUAUUUGUAGAGCGCAAUAUUGAAGAUAUUGAGGAGAUCUGUUGAUCUUUAAGUA
rnacentral:tRNA from 1 species